GGGGUAUUAGCUCAGCAGGUUCAGAGCGCUACCUUGACAGGGUAGAAGUCGGUGGUUCGAAUCCACCAUAUCCCA
rnacentral:tRNA from 1 species